GUUGGAUAAGGCAGGUUUCUCCAUCAUGGUUUUCCUAUCUUUACCAUUUACCAGGGCAUGAGGUGAAGGGAGAAAAAAAGGUUAAAAUUGAUGGACUGAAGCGCCAUCGAGUGAAUUGCUAAUGUAUUGUGACCUGUGGAAUAGCCAAGAAUAGUAGGAAAAAACUGCAGGCUGAUGGCCGCUGACACAUGUGAAGUCAUUACUACAGUGGUGUUUGUUGCAUGACUUUUAAGCCAGGUGCUAACCUCUCAGUAUAUAAACGAAGCAGUCAGAAGGUGUAACGGAGAUAAGCCUGAUUUGCUGCUGCUGAACUAAUUGCAAAGUAACUGAUGCAGAGGAGAACCUGUUUUUCUGUGGAAUGCGGUACACAUCAUGAAGAAACUCCUCAUGUUCCCUAGGCCCACCACCCAAAGAAUUACUGGUUUGAAACCAUUUUUGAAAGCUAUCAAAUUACAUGUUAAACUCCCCCAGAAGAGAAAGAACAAACCUCUGGGUGGGAAGACAAGCCGGAGUCAUCAGAUACUGAAUAGCAGGAAAGGCA
rnacentral:lncRNA from 1 species